AUGCGCAGGUCGAGCCGAUGGAGGAAGGAUUUGACGGUGAGGCAGGCAGGGCUUGGAAGCUUCUUGUAUGGUCACUUGCUCGAUGCUGAUUGGUGGAAGAUAUUGCGGGGCUCGGAGGGCUUUAAACUAGUGCAGUUGGUUAAAGAGGCAUGGACAGUGUUAUGUGAUAAAACCAAGAGACUAUUGUAUGAUCAAAAAAGGAAAGUAGUUGUACUACAACAGAAGACAGCCCAAUCAAAUAGGACAAGUUCAACUCAAGGUGCAACCAAUGGCUUCAAGAAUUUCGCAGCCAAAUCACCUGCUUUCAAGCAAAGAGCAAACAAGCCAAAGAACGGAAGAAGAGAGGAGAGCGAUUUGAAGGAGAAGCUAAGUCAGAUAAGAAGUAGGCCAAUCCAAGUUACUGUUGAUGGUCCACUGAGCAAGAAAUAUGUUGAGGUUAGCAAAGCAACAGUUGAUUCUACUGCAAAUAAAGAUGUUUGUGUGGAUCCAGAGGUGAAUGGUUCUGUUAAUAGCACAGCUGCUGAAAAUGAAGGUGAGGACCCUAUGUCUUGUACUGUUCCUGAUCCUGAUUUCCAUGAUUUUGAUAAGGAUCGUACUGAGGAAUGUUUUCAGAGUGAUCAAAUUUGGCCUUCAUACGACGAUGAUGAUGGCAUGCCUCGUUUCAACACAUUUAUUCAGAAAGUUAUCUCCUUGAACCCGUUUAAGAUCAAAAUAAGUUACCUCGAGUCGAAGACGAAUAGUGAAUUUGGACCAUUGAGUUGGGUUUCUUCUGGCUUUGCAAAGAUGUGUGGUGAUUUCAGGAUUGCCAAACAUGAAAUCUGUGAUGUGGUCAACUUGUUCUCUCACCGGAUUAAAUGGGAGAAAGGCGAUAUCUGGGCUUUGUACCGAAACUGGUCACCUGAAUGGGAUGGAGAUACUCUAGAUAAUGUGCUGCAUGUCUAUGAUCUGGUUGAGAGUUCAUUUCCAUUUGUGAGGGUGCUAACCGAACCCCAAGCGGCAGCAUUGUCUGGGCAUAAUGCGAAGAAAGUCCUUUGCAAGGCAUCAUCCGUUUUGUCUUCAGGCUCCGCCUCUGCUGGUACCCUGGAGCCAGAUUCAUCAUACACCGCGGUCGACGGGCCUUCUUAUUCAUAUCAGGUUCGGAACCAAAUUACAGGGCUUAUUGUCGGUACGUGCCGUCUCUGCUUGCGGGAUGGGAUAAUGAGGAUUGAGAAGGAGAACGGGGCGGGAUGGGUUAAUGAGGACUAG
rnacentral:rRNA from 1 species